rnacentral:lncRNA from 1 species
AAUAAUGAGUAAAACCCUACCCUAGCACUAGGGCCCAACAACUAGGGUUGUUUGGGACCAAAGCCUUUCUAGGUCUCCAGAGGCAGGAUUGAGACCUCUGUGAGCCCGGUGGGCAGACGGCACAAACUGCUGCGCUAAUGGCAAACAGAGUUAGCCCAGGUUUCAAGGGUUACUGAGCCGGGUGCUGACUCUAUUUGCGAUGAAAACAAGACCCUGUUACCUCGUAGCUGCCUGAUAAAUACGUCUCCCUUACAAGCAAGUAAACAUUUUGAAAGACUGCAGUGACUUAUAGUAUUUCUGUAGGGUGAGAAGAAAAUUAUUUGAAAGUUGUUAUAUUUCUCCCACGUUACAAACACGUGGUAGAAAUGAGUACAGAGUAAGGAGGGAUGAAUUGCUUCUGUCUGUGCAAGAACGACCAAGCAGCGAGGUACCGUGAGACGCCUCCCUCACACAAACAGAGAAUAAAUGGUGGCAGCUGUGGGAUGUUUGCUGCAAGGUGGAGGAGGCUGCUGGCUCCCUGCUGCUGUCCCUGCUCCCACCGCAUUCGGGGAUGACAUAACCAGGGUGAGAAAACUCUGAAAACACUGCAGCUGCUGAGAAUGGAAGCUAUUCUGAAGUGUUAGGAAAAGAAAGUCACAAAAGAUGGAGUCCACCUGGUUUCCUUGGGAUUCAGACACACUGAAGAAAGACUGAAGUGUGUAUCCCCUCAGAAAAGCAGGUGGGGCAAUAUGCAGCAUUUACACCAAAACUGCAGCUUUUAAACCAUGUAGAAAGCAGUGGAAAGAAGCUUGGUUUCCCACAGGAAGAACACAGCAAGGGAAGAGGGUUUGUGACUGUGUGUCCUUGCCUGAGGAACCCGAGGGAUGUGAGCUUUGGCACACUGUCAUGGCCUGACAGGCAGUGACACAGAUGGAUCCCCUUGGCUGGGUGGCAGUGGCCUUGUCCUUGCUCCCAGUGAGAGCCUUGUGGUGCAGGGAUAGAACAUUCCUGUCACUCCAGCAAGUGUUCCACUGUGUCCUCCAUUUAAUCAGGCCUAGGAACACUAUUUUUCCCCUACAUCCAUAAAUUACUUAUUCCCAUGAAGUGUGACUUCUGCUUUAAAUCACCUAUGUAAACUGUACUAGAUACAGCCAUGCUAAAUUUAAUAAAUAGGCAUUUUAUAUUUUAUUUAUAUAAUAA